UACGUAGGGCGCAAGCGUUGUCCGGAAUUAUUGGGCGUAAAGAGCUCGUAGGCGGUUUGUCGCGUCUGCUGUGAAAGUCCGAGGCUCAACCUCGGAUCUGCAGUGGGUACGGGCAGACUAGAGUGUGGUAGGGGAGACUGGAAUUCCUGGUGUAGCGGUGGAAUGCGCAGAUAUCAGGAGGAACACCGGUGGCGAAGGCGGGUCCCUGGGCAGUAACUGACGCUGAGGAGCGAAAGCGUGGGGAGCGAACAGG
rnacentral:rRNA from 1 species